rnacentral:rRNA from 1 species
AUUCCAGCUCCAAUAGCGUAUAUUAAAGUUGUUGCGGUUAAAAAGCUCGUAGUUGGAUUUCUGCCGAGGAUGACCGGUCCGCCCUGUGGGUGUGCAUCUGGCUCAGCCUUGGCAUCUUCCUGAAGAACGUAGCUGCACUUGACUGUGUGGUGCGGUAUUUAGGACAUUUACUUUGAGGAAAUUAGAGUGUUUCAAGCAAGCGCACGCUUUGAAUACAUUAGCAUGGAAUAAUAAGAUAGGACCUCAGUUCUAUUUUGUUGGUUUCUAGAGCUGAGGUAAUGAUUGAUAGGGAUAGUUGGGGGCAUUAGUAUUUAUUAGCUAGAGGUGGAAUUCUCUAAUUUGAUAAAGACUAACUUAUGCGAAAGCAUUUGCCAAGGAUGUUUUCAUUA